rnacentral:lncRNA from 1 species
AGCCGCCGGAUUUUAUUCGGAGGGCUGAGCUCCAAGUUUCACCAUUGACGUCUGCACUCUCCGGCCCGCUCAAGCUCGCCCUUCUCCAUUCUUCUCCAAUUUUUGAUCGAUUAUUCCACUCGCCCCGCUCAAGCUUCACUCCGGUGAGUUUCAUAAAUUCAUACCCUGUUUUUGUGAUUAGUGCCCUGUUAGUACCUUGAUUAGUGCCAUGAUUAGCUCCAAUUAUUGAUCGAUUAAUUAUGUUAAUGUCGAUGAAUGGUGGUGUUGCAAAUUGCUUCUAUUUUUUCUGGUCUAUUUCUUGUCCAAAUUGUCACGAAGAUGAGUAUGCUUGAGAGUUCUGUCCAAAUUUCAUAAAUNUUUUCUGCUGAUUCUGGAAUCUGCAAAUAGUAAUUAACAGAUUAAUUAAAACUUAUUAUUUUUGGUUAACAGCACUUUACACUUCUUUUCCUCAUUCUUUUGCUUGGAGAUUUGAGAGAGAGAGAGAGAGAGAAACUAGACUCUGCUGCAGUUAUCCCAACAACUUAUCAUUAUGAGUAUAUUACAUAUGGAUUAUGUUCUUAUUUUUCUUUCAAGGGGUUGAAACAGUCAAGGUUUUCAUUUAUUGAUACAAAUAUACUUUACUGAAUCCAUUAAUCAUUCAUUUUUGUCAAACAUCUUUCGAGUAGUAUAUGGUUAGACUUUACUGAAUAGAUCUAAGUCUCUUUUAUUUAGUGGAUUAUCAAGAAACAAUUUACACAUGUGAAAAUACUUUUGCAAUGUAUUGUUGGAUACAUUUAUUUGAUUAAAGAUAUUGAUUUGUAUUUAAAUUGAUAGACAAUUAAUCUAUACUUUCUUAAAUAGGUGUUGGUGUUUUGUUAAAUUGUGGGAGGAAUUUCAGAAAGUGUUUAUUCAUCCAUUUGGAAGAGAAUCGACAAGAAAGGGAUAAGCUUCAACGGUGAGUUCACUAUAUCUUGUUUUUAUGUUUUCACCAUGGUUCAAAUGGCAACCAUGGUUAGAUAAGCAUGUAUCUAGGUUAUUUUUGCACCAUGGUUAUGUAAACACUGUAGAUAAGCAUGUAUCUAGGUAGUUGAUAUGGAGAAUAGGUUGGGGAAUGGCUCGUUCCAUUCCAUUUGUUGCUGUGGUGAUGGCUUGGAGCCGAUUAUGUGCUAUGUGUGUUUAUGUGUUUGUGUAAGAAAUAGGCACAAGUAAUCAUAAAUAUUUGUGAAAUUUAUAGGUUAAGUAAAAUGACAUAUAUUUUUUUAAUGGAUAAAGGUUGGAUGUCCAAAAAUAGAUUAUCAAACGAGUACGAAGUAGGAGUGGAGUCUUUCUUGCAGUUUGCCGUUAAAAAUGGGAAAAAUCCCAAUGCUAUGCCUUGUCCUUGUGUCAAGUGUGGCAAUCUACGCGAGAAGGAUGUCAAAACCAUAAGAGCGCAUCUCACAUAUAAUGGCAUGGAUUUAACAUACGUUAGUUGGAUUUUUCAUGGGGAGAGAAGUAGACCUAACACAAGCAAUAAAGAAGAAGAAGAGAGCAGUGUGGGUCAUGAUUUUUAUUCGGAUGAGCCAGUAGACAUGGUGCAUGAUGCAUAUGUUGACAAUCCAACUCAUUUUCAUAGACUGCUCGAGGAAGCUGAAAUGCCAUUAUAUUUUGGAUGUGAUGGUUUCACGAAGUUAUCUGC